AGUCAAUAGAUACCCUGGUAGUCCUGGCCCUCAACGUUGCUCGCUCGUUUUACGGAGUAUCGACCCUCUGUGAGACUAAAGCUAACGCGGUAAGCGAGCCGCCUGGGUAGUACGAUCGCAAGAUUAAAACUCAAAGGAAUAGACGGGGACGUCGCACAAGCAGUGGAUUAUGCGGCUUAAUUCGUCGGUAAACGAAGAACCUUACCAAGGUUAGAAACCCAACUGCAUCCGACCUGAAAGGGACGGAGCCUUCGAGGGUGUUGGGCAGGUGAUGCAUGGUCGUCGUCAGUUCGUGGUUUGAACUGUUCCCUUCAGUGGGGUAACGAACGCAACCCCCGUUGUCUGUUGCCUAUAUGGCCAGGCGAGACUGCUCCCUCACGGGAGAGGAAGGUGGGGGAUGACGCCAGAUCAGCAUGUCCCUCU
rnacentral:rRNA from 1 species